GGAAGGUAAAAGUCGUAACAAGGUUUCCGUAGGUGAACCUGCGGAAGGAUCAUUCAUAAUAAAGUGUUUUAUGGCACUUUUUAAAAAUCCAUAUCCACCUUGUGUGCAAUGUUAGAUCUCGUCAAUCUUGGCGAGAUUUUUAUACAUCAACUCAUUCUUUAACUAAUUUGUCUGAAAAACAUUAUGAAUACUUAAUUCAAAAUACAACUUUCAACAACGGAUCUCUUGGCUCUC
rnacentral:misc_RNA from 1 species